AGCUCUGGAUUCUUUUUUCCAACGGUAACUUUAUUUCCCUGUUUGUCAUAUUCUAGUGAUCGCAAACUAAACUAACAUAUCCACUAAAAGUUACCGCUAAAUUGCUUUAUUGAGAAGUUAGUUCUCAAUUCUCAUGUCACUAUAAACACCAAUAACUACAUUCACUUUUACCAAUUAGGCAUCAAUAUAGGCAAUCCAUAGCUUGAAUCUUAUAUGGUACUGAGCACCAUAUACUGAUUUUAACAUUUCUGCAAUGACACUGUUCCAUAUAUCUUAAAUGCAAAGGUGGCUUCAAUGUUGACUUGAAUGUCAAGAACAACUUUUGUUGGUUUGAAUCAUUUCUUGUCAUCAUAUCACUUUCUACAAGAAUUUGAAUGAUAUGAUUGUAUCAUAUGUUCCAUUAACUCUUCUAUCAAAUAUGGCGUACCAGUCUACAAUGCAUACUGACACUAGAGGUUUUUUAGUCCAAUGGGAAAUGUCUAUGGACAUAUUCUAUAACAUGGAUUUCAAAUUUCAAAACAACUUUUCUUUAAUAAUUUAUAGUUCAUUGCUCUAUUUUUUUUAAUUAUUACGUGAAAUAUCAUGUUAGGGCCAUGUUAUAUUUUAUUUUUUUAUAAUAUUUGAACAAUUUAACCUCAAGAAAUUUAAUGUAUAUGUAAAUAUCUAGUACGGUUGAUAAAUCCUUCAUUCUGUUUAAUGAAAACACCCAGUGUGACCGUGGACAUGGGGUUAUGUGCCUCAUGUGAAACUCAAAUCUUAUAGAUACAUGAUUAUGAUUCAAGUUAGUUAUUUGCUACAGAGACAUGAUUAUAUUCAUUUUGAAACCAAUCUUAAAACUAAAUUACUAUAGGGUCUCGUGGUAGUUAGAAUGUUUAAAUGUUGAGAACAGGAUCAGAUGCUUCACCUAAUUUGGAAGGAUCCUGCAGCAAACAAUAGCAUUUGGUGAUUCAUUGACCUGUGCUCUGUCUAAAUUAUGUUAGAGAUGUCUUACAGUGCUACAGUUAGAAGGUUCUUUCUCCAUAACAAUGAGGAUUUUAAAAAAAUAAAAAAUCUAUCUGCAUGAAGAAUCUAUGAGUGAAGUCAUGCAGCAUGCUUUCCGAUUUAGUGAAAAUUCAAGAAGAAAGCAUGAUGAAAUGAGCUUUGAUGGUCAUAAUUUGUAAGUUGAAGAGAUAAUUUUUCUGCUUUUUUCCUUCAUCUUUACCUUGGAGGGUUUUGCAAGGGUUCAAUCAAAUGAUAAUAUAUCUGCAUGUUUCCUUCGUUAUUAGUGAUAUCCAAAAGGAUGAAUGGUAAAAGGAUAUUUAAUGAAUCUGUUGAUCCUUGAGAAGUCACUGGAGUUGAGAUCUUUUCAAUUAAUGCUUGUGAUUAAGGACUUGUGUAGCAUUCUGGAAACAUGUUAUAUAAUUGGCCAGAUCUAGCCAAUUUCUUCCCUAUUUUAGGUGUUGUUCCAGUUGCUACCUCUCUAAGAUUGGAUCUGCUUGUGCAUCAAAUUGGAUCUGAUUUUGCCGUGUUUUUUUCUUUCUUUCCUCUUAGCUAUUUGCAGACUUAUCAUCAGGUCUUUCCCUUUUUGUGGUGGCUUAGUUAAGUCAAUGCCAUGCAUCCUUCUUCAUUUCGUAAUCCUUCUUCUUUCCUGUGAGCAAGCUAUGCUCUGAUCCUGUUACCAAUGAUGACAUAUCUUCUCCUCAGCCAUCUAGUCCAUACCUGCAUGGAGAACUGGAAACUUCAUUCCUCUUGUGUAUGUAUAGAAACCUAGAAUUCUUCUUGCUGCCACUUGUUCAGCAUGAAAACAAGGAACAUUCGAUUCUCUUUCUUGUCAUAUAAUGUAUCUAUUACCAUAUCGUUGCAUUUCUGCAGGUAGAGAGACAACUUUGCUGGUCCUAUUUGCAAAUUAGUUUGGAGUCCAGCUGGUAGUUAGAAUUAUGUGCGAAGUAAUAUCACUGCCUGUAAAAUUCUGCUGGUCCUAUUUGCAAAUUAGUUUGAAGUCUAGCUGGUAGUUAGAACUAUGUGCUAAGUAAUAUCACUGCCUGUAAAAUGCUAGGUAACAUGUUUUCAUGAUAUGUUCACUAACAUGUCCUUUAACUUCAUGUGCUGAGAGUUUGCACAUACUAAUGGUACAGUUCUCCUGUUCCAUAGCAGCUGUGUAUGAACACAUAUUCAGUUGGUGGACCAAGUACUUUUAAAUUUGAUGACCUAUUCUCUUGUAUGCUACAAAUUUAAUCAGUGAUUGUUUUAAGUAAUAUCAUUGCAGGAUUGUUGUGUUAUAGUUCUCACUCUUCCAACUUGUACUCUCAAGAUAAUUGCAUGCUUAUACAAGAUACCUACAUGUGUUAACCAAUAUUUCAUUUUGAUUCAAGAGUCGAACUUUCUUUGCUACGAAGAGACAAAAUUUGAAAUGUGAUUCAUGUGACACUCAAAUUCUUACAAUAUUUUGCUGACCAAUUGCUAUGGUGCUUUGAUUUUUGUAAAUGAUAUUCAACGCAAUAAAUUGGUUAAUGGUUUCCUAUAGGACUUGUAUGCUCAUUUAGUAGGGAGGUUAAGGAUGUAUAGGUAAUGGUAUUGAUGUGGGCAGUCGCUGAGUUGCGGGUGAAAUCAUUUUGUCUACAUCAAUCUGUAGUUUCAUCCUCCAGAUAGAUGAUACCACUUGGCUGUAUUCUAUUCAUACAAUUUUCAGGAUUUCGACUAACUACUCUGUGAAAUAUCUAAAUUAUCUUUUUUUUUUUCAUAUACAGGAAUGCAGCUGUCAGUAUAUAUACUGCCUCACUAUCCAGCAGCUUUUGAGAUGUAAGAACGGGACACGUCUUGGUGAAAUUUUAAUUGUAGGAUUUUAUGGUUUAAAUGAUAAACCCUAUUACAGCUGUCUUAUUUAGCACACCUUGUGGUGACAUUUCAAGUGAUGGAUUUUGUAGUUUAAAUAAGAAAACUUAUCACAACUAUAUUAUUUUAGCACAUGUUUUGGUGAAUUCCAAAUUUGGGAUUUGUAGUUUCAAUGAGAAGGCCAUAUUACAACUGUCUUAUUUUAGCAUGCAAUAACAUAUCUAUUUUGACAGCAACAUUUUUCCCUCUCAAAUGAAGUCACCAAUUGGUAUAAAUUGCCUUACAUCUGAAUAUGAGCUGCCAUAGAUCAUUGUAUUUCUUUAAAAAACAAGGAAG
rnacentral:lncRNA from 1 species